CAUCCAGACACGGGGUGCCCGGACGACGGGCUGAGAACCACACCCGUAACCACCUGAUCUAGGUCAUGCUAGCGAAGGGAUGUCGUCAUGACUGUCC
rnacentral:ncRNA from 2 species